AUUGAACGCUGGCGGCAGGCUUAACACAUGCAAGUCGAGCGGGGUGAUGGUGCUUGCACUAUCACUUAGCGGCGGACGGGUGAGUAAUGCUUAGGAAUCUGCCUAUUAGUGGGGGACAACAUCUCGAAAGGGAUGCUAAUACCGCAUACGUCCUACGGGAGAAAGCAGGGGAUCACUUGUGACCUUGCGCUAAUAGAUGAGCCUAAGUCGGAUUAGCUAGUUGGUGGGGUAAAGCCCUACCAAGGCGAGGAUCUGUAGCGGGUCUGAGAGGAUGAUCCGCCACACUGGGACUGAGACACGGCCCAGACUCCUACGGGAGGCAGCAGUGGGGAAUAUUGGACAAUGGGGGGAACCCUGAUCCAGCCAUGCCGCGUGUGUGAAGAAGGCCUUAUGGUUGUAAAGCACUUUAAGCGAGGAGGAGGCUCUUUUGGUUAAUACCCAAGAUGAGUGGACGUUACUCGCAGAAUAAGCACCGGCUAACUCUGUGCCAGCAGCCGCCGUAA
rnacentral:rRNA from 1 species